CACGUAGGGUCCAAGCGUUGUCCGGAUUUAUUGGGCGUAAAGAGCUCGUAGGCGGCUUGGUAAGUCGAGUGUGAAAACUCUGGGCUCAACUCAGAGACGCCACUCGAUACUGCUAUGGCUAGAGUCCGGUAGGGGAGUGUGGAAUUCCCGGUGUAGCGGUGAAAUGCGCAGAUAUCGGGAGGAACACCAGUAGCGAAGGCGGCACUCUGGGCCGGAACUGACGCUGAGGAGCGAAAGCGUGGGGAGCGAACAGG
rnacentral:rRNA from 1 species